rnacentral:rRNA from 1 species
GACAGAGGGUGCAAACGUUUGUUCGGAAUUACUGGGCGUAAAGCGCGCGUAGGCGGCUUUGUAAGUUAGAGGUGAAAGCCCGGGGCUCAACCCCGGAAUUGCCUUUAAGACUGCAUCGCUUGAAUCCGGGAGAGGUGAGUGGAAUUCCGAGUGUAGAGGUGAAAUUCGUAGAUAUUCGGAAGAACACCAGUGGCGAAGGCGGCUCACUGGACCGGCAUUGACGCUGAGGUGCGAAAGCGUGGGGGAGCAAACAGG